rnacentral:misc_RNA from 1 species
CUCUCUCUCUCUCUCUUCACACUUGCAUUCCUCAUAUUUGACCAAUUAACUCCCAGCAUGUCUUUCUAUUUAUCUACGGCCCAUCUCUCUCUAUCUCCAAACUUGCAACCCUCAUAUUUUGAUCAAAUUAACCCCUUCAUAUCUAUCAUCUAUCUAUCAAUUGGUUUACAAAAAGAACGUGCAAACACAAAAGUGUCAGAAACAAGGCGUUAGUUUAACAGAUUUAAAGAAGUUAACACCACUACAACAACUAAGCCUUAAUCCCA